rnacentral:rRNA from 1 species
AAUUUUGGACAAUGGGGGAAACCCUGAUCCAGCCAUCCCGCGUGUAUGAUGAAGGCCGUCUGGUUGUAAAGUACUUUUGGCAGAGAAGAAAAGGUACCUCCUAAUACGAGGUACUUCUGACUGUAGCUACUUAAUAUCAUCCGGCUAACUACGUGCCAGCAGCCGCGGUAAUAAGUAGGGUGCAAGCGUUAAGUGGAAUUCCUUGGCGUAAAGCGUGUGUAGGCGGUUCGGAAAGAAAGAUGUGCAAUCCCAGGGCUCAACCUUGGAACUGCAUUUUUAACUGCCGAGCUAGAGUAUGUCAGAGGGGGGUAGAAUUCCACGUGUAGCAGUGAAAUGCGUAGAUAUGUGGAGGAAUACCGAUGGCGAAGGCAGCCCCCUGGGAUAAUACUGACGCUCAGACACGAAAGCGUGGGGAGCAAACAG